UCGGGUAGCUGCAUUGGCCCACAUGUACUGUACGUACGGCAUGAGAAGGGCGGGUCCAUCACUGCCAGUGCUGGUAUGGUAUGUGAUGGGUUGCUCGUGUUUUCCAGCAGGACACGUAGGCUCUCGGCCAAGAACGGGAAAUUUCACCUUCUAUAUGAAAUGACACAGUGGAAGCCAACUUUUACAAUUAGAGGGUAGAGGACCUGCUGGGUCGGGCAACAAGAAGUAUGUGCAACAUCAAGUUGGUGGAUGGAUGUCUAGGUUACCAAGUACACCAUAUCGUGACGGUUACCAGCAAGGGUCAGGUGCAGUCACUGCUAGGUCAGAUUCACACAAUAGCGCUGAACCACCAACUGCAACAAGCGGCCCUUGCACAGUCACAGCGUCUUUCGGCUGAACCUGAGCGGCUAUUACUGAUAGGCCAGCUUCGUACAAGUGGGCCACCAACUGCAAAGAGCGGCCCUUGCGCAGUUACAGUGCUUCUGGCUGAAGCUGGGUGGCAGCAACUGUCUGACCAAGGAAUUUGGUGGGGUUGUUUUGCGGCCCUGCCCACACUCCCCUAACAAGAACAGGAUGAGUCAUCUAGUCCCUAACCCAGUCCCCAACAGUGGGUGCAGUGCCAAAAACCCAUUGAGCUGACACUGGGCGUCACGUGUGAGAUGAUCUACCAGUCUUUUGGAGCCACGUCAUGGUUGGAGCGCACUUGAACCUUCUUUGAAGGCUACUGACUAGGAUCCUGGCUGCGAGUUUUGGAGCCAUAAUACCCUACGCUGCCCCGACCUCUUACUUUGUAGAGACCCAGACCAGAGCCCCUAUAGAGCUGACAGGCUGACGCUGGAAGCCAUGCUGGAGGAGACUAGUGAUAGGCCUAAGACCAAGCUAGGCAUCCGCAAAUGCAAGAAUGCAUGGGGACAAUCGCCAACAAGUGUGACUGCCAAGGCCGUGCUGGUUUCCAGUAAAGGCUUGCGAAGGAGAUCAAGAGACCACUUGGCUUAGCUCCAGCACCCUCUGCGGCCCUCACCUGGAGACCUCUUACCCAGAGACAUAUAGACUGGAUCAUACAGGUGGAGCUAGAGGGGACCCAUGCUGUAGGGAGCCCACACUGGAGGGGGCCUACGCUGGAGGGAGCCCAGGCUGGAGGGAUCCCACGCUGGAGGGAACCCACACUGGAGGGGACCCACUCUGGGGGGACCCACACUGGAGGGGACCCACGCUGGAGGGAACCCACACUGGAGGGAACCCACGAUGGAGGGGAUCCACGCUGGAGGGGAUCCACACUGGAGGGGACCACAGGCACAAGACCAGGGGAAUGUGGUAACUGUUUACUUCUUUCUUGAAUGUAAAAAUAUAUCCUAGUUCGGUGUUGAUUUGCAUUGUUCAAGUAUUAACAGUGGCGGAUCAGAUGGGCAGAAUGGGAAGUGCAUUCAUCUUGUCUGUUUUCCUUUUUUUUCACUUCACUUGUGAUAUAUUCAAGACAGAAACUUUUCAACCACAUUGAAUAUCAAGUACAAUGUGCCCUGCUUGAAUGUUCAGGUUUGCAUCCUUUAUUGGCACCCCCCUCAUUUCUGUAAAUGUUGGAUCCGCCACUGAAUAACAUAGUAAUAUUUCUUUUAAUAUGUUUUUGGUAUUAAUCAUAUGUUAUGUGACACAGUAUGUCAAAACCAUGCUGUAUUAUCAAAUUUCAGAAAAAAAGUGGUGUUUGUAAGAGCAAAGUCUAUAGAUGUAUCUCUUAUAAGACAUAUUAAGAAAAGUACGUUGUCAUUUGCACAACGCCAUUGUGCACGGUGAGACAAAAUGUUCUGAACACGUGCGCAUGUUACUCAAAUUUUCUGAAUUGAAAAAUUGAAAAAAGGUGCAGCCGAUGAGCGUCAAGAACAUUUGAAUCCAAAAUGCCGAGAUGCAUGUGGCAAUCUGUAGUCGCAUCAUUUGAGAGAGACCUAUAUGUCACUAAUAUUGCAGUAACUGAAAAUUGACUUCUUGCCCAAAUGUGCCUGAAUUUGACAUACCACGUCACAUAUAUAUGCUCUAUCAACUGAUAUUCCUGCCGUAAUUUGUGCAAAUUAAGUUGUUUUGUACAUUAAGGGUAAAAUGUACAUUGGGGAAAAAUGACUUGGUUUUGUGAAUUCAAAAAAAUCUGCUCAUUAAACAGGUACUUGAGAAACGUUUGCUCAUUGGCUAAUGCUAUUUACAAUACCACAAUAU